ensembl:snRNA U2 U2 spliceosomal RNA
AUCACUUUCAGCCUUUUGGCUAAGAUCAAGUGCAGUAUCUGUUCUCAUCAGUAAUAUCUGAUCUGUCCUUUAUCUGAGGACGAUAUAUUAGGUGGAUUUUUUUUUUUGUCUUUUUCCUUUUUAUCGGUACCAGGGAUCAAACUCACGACUG